rnacentral:misc_RNA from 1 species
GAUGAAGAACGCAGCGAAAUGCGCUAAGUAGUGUGAAUUGCAGAAUUCAGUGAAUCAUCGAAUCUUUGAACGCACAUUGCGCCUCCUGGUAUUCCGGGAGGCAUGCCUGUUCGAGCGGCAUUAAAAUCACUCAAGCUUAGGUUUACCUAUUGCUUGGUCUUGGAGAUGGAAGCCAAUUUAUUGGAAUCCUCUUCGAAAUUCAAUGGCGAAGACCCUUGCUCUCCCAAGUGUAGUAAUAACUUAUGUCACUGAAGGAAGCGAGAAAUCUUCUGCCGUAACCCCCAUAUUUUCUAUGAUUGACCUCGGAUCAGGUAGGGAUACCCGCUGAACUUAAGCAUAUCAAUAAGCGGAGGA